GUCUUUAUGAAUUAUUUUUAAAGUCUAACCUGCCCAAUGAAUAAUUUUUAAAUGGCCGCAGUAUAUUAACUGUGCAAAGGUAGCAUAAUCAUUAGUCUUUUAAUUGAAGGCUGGUAUGAAUGGUUGGACGAGAUAUUAACUGUUUCAUAAAAAUUUAUAAUAGAAUUUUAUUUUUUAGUCAAAAAGCUAAAAUUUAUUUAAAAGACGAGAAGACCCUAUAAAUCUUUAUAUUUAAUUUAUUAUGAUUUUAUAGAUUAUUUUUGUUAUAAUAAUUAAUAAUAUUUUAUUGGGGUGAUAUUAAAAUUUAAUAAACUUUUAAUUAUUAAAAUCAUUAAUUAAUGAGUAAUUGAUCCGUUAAUAACGAUUAAAAAAUUAAGUUACUUUAGGGAUAACAGCGUAAUUUUUUUGGAGAGUUCAUAUCGAUAAAAAAGAUUGCGACCUCGAUGUUGGAUUAAGAGAUAUAUUUAGGUGUAGCUGCUUAAAUGUUAAGUCUGUUCGACUUUUAAAUUCUUACGUG
rnacentral:rRNA from 1 species